rnacentral:rRNA from 1 species
CAGGGAGGUAGUGACAAGAAAUAACAAUACGGGGCUUAAUGUCUUGUAAUUCGAAGGAUGGGAAUUUAAACCUCUUCCAGAGUAUCAAUUGGAGGGCAAGUCUGGUGCCAGCAGCCGCGGUAAUUCCAGCUCCAAUAGCGUAUAUUAAAAUUGUUGCAGUUAAAAAGCUCGUAGUUGAAUUUCUGCUGCAUCGUCGCAUCUCUUGCUGAGUGCUUCAUUGCGGCUUAUUUCGGAUUGAUUUUUUCUUUCCGGAUGAUUACUUUGAGAAAAUUAGAGUGCUCAAAGCAGGCUUUUGCCUUGAAUAGUUUAGCAUGGAAUAAUAAAGUAGGACUUUGGUUCUAUUUUGUUGGUUUUAGGUACCAAAGUAAUGGUUAAUAGGAACAGUUGGGGGCAUUCGUAUUUAACUGUCAGAGGUGAAAUUCUUAGAUUUGUUAAAGACGAACUACUGCGAAAGCAUUUGCCAAGGAUGUUUUCAUUAAUCAAGAACGAAAGUUAGGGGAUCGAAGACGAUCAGAUACCGUCGUAGUCCUAACCAUAAACUAUGCCGACUAGAGAUUGGAGGUCGUCAGUUUUUACGACUCCUUCAGCACCUUGAGAGAAAUCAAAGUCUUUG